UGAGCAUGUGUAAACAUCAAAUAGUUCCUACAUUGUUCAUAAAAAAAGAAAAUAUCUCUCUCUCUUUCUGUACCUGGCUUUUGCUUCUAUUCAGGCGCACUGCCUUUAAAGAUGUCUAUUUGUCUAAGUCUGAGCUUUAAUGUAACUAUCACUGUUUACUUUAGGGCUUUAAAAAGGGACCUACCGCCAAGAACAUCAACUCCAACACUGUAGAGACCAGUAUUAUAAGCAGUUGUUGUUGAUUAUCAGGUCCAAUGUCGAGAGAUUAGUAAAGUUCACAAAUAUUUUUUAGAUGAA